rnacentral:rRNA from 1 species
UGAGCGACCUGCCUUAUUGAGGGGGAUAGCCGGCCCAACGGCCGGGUAAUACCGCAUACGUUUGGAAGGGGGCAUCCCUUUUCAAGGAAACCUCCGGGGCGAUAAGAGGGGCUCGCGGCCUAUCAGCUAGUUGGUGAGGUAACGGCCCACCAAGGCGACGACGGGUAGCCGGCCUGAGAGGGUGACCGGCCACACUGGGACUGAGACACGGCCCAAACUCCUACGGGAGGCAG